GGAGGGGGAGGUACCUGGGCCCGGGAGUGAUGUCAGCUCCCAGCUCGGUGUCUGCCCGGAUUCCUGACAUGGUGUAGGGCCCGGAGGGUGGGGACGGCGGGAGCGGGACGGGACCGGACUCGGGUUUGCUGGCCCGUGGCGGGGCCAGAGUGCUGGGGCUUUGAACUCCGGGAGAAGGUGAUCCAGAACUUUUGGAACUAGUGCCGGCGGCGCCCACCCCCAGUUUUAAAGAACUGUAUG